rnacentral:rRNA from 1 species
AUGGCGACCGGCAGCCCCGUGUCGCAAGAAGAACCGGAGGAAAGGCAGAUCGGCAUCGACCCGUUCUCGCUGCGGCAGCUCUCCCGCCUCGACAUCGACAAGCCACUGCCCAUCCCCUCCGUCUCCGUUGACGACCGCCACCGGCCUGCAUACUCUCCCGCGCGGUCUGCCAGCGCCAGCAUGCCGUGCUCCGGCGCGGCAACCCCGCGCUUGUCGUCAGCGGCGACCGAGCCCACCAGGUGGGACGCGCACCUGGCAACCUCCUCGGUGGCGGACACCACAUGCCCCUCUAGGGCUGUUUCCAGAAGCAAGUCCUGCGCCGACGGGGAGAUGGAGCUGGCCGACAACGAGUUCGACGUCAUCCUCUCAUCCCCGGAGCGGAGGGCGAGCGCGCCGCAGCGAUGGGGAAGCGACGUGCCGCUCAUCGGGGACGCGCGCGGCAAGGACGGCCGGCGCAGGGGAAAGCACGGCACUGAAGGGGCGCCGUUCAGCUGCUGCCUCUACCUCCCAGGGCUCACAAGGAGGAACAAGCUGCCGCCGUCGGCCACGGCAACCGCUGUGCGCUCGUCAUCGGGUUUGCCGUCGGCGACGUUCCGCGGCCCAGCCGGCGUCCAGCCUGAGUCAGAGUCGGACGAUCCAAGCGUGGCGCGGCAGAGCACCAUGUCGCUGGCAGUGUCGCUCGAGCGGUUCGAGUGCCGAUUCUCCAUGAGAUCCUCGGGGGGCUUGGCCCUCGACGACGAGGCCGCCUCGUCAUCGUAUUUCGACCUACCGCUGGAGCUCAUUCUAGGCUGCGAAGACGACGAUGAGACCGGCCUGCCCAUGCACGCCGCCUUCAUGUUCGACAGCGACGGCAUACGGAAGAGCGUGCUGAAGAAGGGUGUGCGGCGUGACGUGGCACGACCGUCGUCUGCGAAGGUGGCGACGGACGGGUCCGGCACUGACAGAAUCCCAGCCCGCCACCACGUGAGGUUCUCAGUGACGUCGGGGUCCGCAGAUUCAUAG